UGGUGCAGUGGGACAGGUUUCCCCGUGCCCUGCCCUGCAGGCACCAUGAGGGCACAGGCAGGGGCAGCUGCUGUCAGUCAGUGUGAGCCUUGCCCUCCUGGUACCUACUGCCCAGACUCUCGCACCACGGGCCAGCCUAAUACAGCAGGCAUCCCAUGUCGAGCUUCUUACGAAUGUCCUGCAGGUUCAGUCACAGAGACCCCUUGCAGAGCUGGUUCAUACUGUAGACCCCAGACAGGAGAUCCCACACCAUGUCCUGCAGGAUACUACUGUCCUGAAGGAUCUCGCACCUACAGCUCACCACAGCAAGUAUGUACUUUUCCACAUUACUGCCCAGCCAACAGUUCUACCAUGCUGUCCUGUCCAGAUGGCUGGAUGCCGCU